rnacentral:rRNA from 1 species
CCUACGGGAGGCAGCAGUGAGGAAUAUUGGUCAAUGGACGAGAGUCUGAACCAGCCAAGUCGCGUGAAGGAUGACUGCCCUAUGGGUUGUAAACUUCUUUUAUAUGGGAAUAAAACGUUCCACGUGUGGGAUUUUGUAUGUACCAUAUGAAUAAGGAUCGGCUAACUCCGUGCCAGCAGCCGCGGUAAUACGGAGGAUCCGAGGGUUAUCCGGAUUUAUUGGGUUUAAAGGGAGCGUAGGUGGAUUGUUAAGUCAGUUGUGAAAGUUUGCGGCUCAACCGUAAAAUUGCAGUUGAAACUGGCAGUCUUGAGUACAGUAGAGGUAGGCGGAAUUCGUGGUGUAGCGGUGAAAUGCUUAGAUAUCACGAAGAACUCCGAUUGCGAAGGCAGUUCACUGGACUGCAACUGACACUGAGGCUCGAAAGUGUGGGUAUCAAACAGGAUUAGAUACCCCAGUAGUC